AGUAAAUGAGUCCUUUCAACUUGGUCUCAUGCUUAUCUGGGAGAGAUGAGAAAACAAGAUACCAAAAAAAAAAAAAAAAAAGUUAAAAACAAAUGUAAAAUAAAAAAUGUGCAGUAUUCUGGGAGUCCAGACAGGUAAGUAAAUACAAAAAGUAAAUGCAGAUAUUUUUGAUAGAAAGGUAGAGAGAGAGACACACAAAAGUUUUUUUUCCAAAGACAUAAUCCAAGCAGAGUUGGGGUGAAAGUUAAUUACAAGCACAAGUCUAUUUCAAGCUUUGCCUGGAGUCUUAAACAUCCCAUUAAUCUGACUUGUUUUCCCUUAGCCAAGCACACCCAUUGUCAAACCUAAAGACGCUCCAAGGAGGAAGCUAGACAUCUUUUUGUCAACAAAAACUGUUUUGAUAUGAAACUACUGUUCAAAUAAGCAAAAAAAAAAAAAUUUAAUGCACGAAGAAACUGAAAAUGAGAGGCAACUUUUUGAAAUGCCCCCUUCCCCUCCCCCCAACCUACUAAUCAAAAGUGCUUUGUAAUGAGAUAAAUGUUUUUCAAACGCAAGUUUCACUUUAUCAGUCGCGAACAAGCCAGGAGCUAGCCUUCACCCAAGAAAAACACUUCUCAGGAAACCAUUGCAUCUUAUUUCAUCACCAUCAUCACCAUCGUCAGGAGUGAGCUGGGUGAAAAGGGCUAGACGACCUCCUCCUGUGGGCCGUCUCAUCCAGAAGCCGCCUCUCGGCCUCCUCGCGCCUCUUCCGCUCCUCCUCCAGCAGAAGCCGCCGAGUCUGCGCCUCCCUCUCCUGGGAGCGUCGAGGAGCAGAUCGGGGGAGGAGAACGCAAAACAGAGCGAGAGGGAGAAAAAGUGGGGGAAGAACAUGUUCAUGGUAGGCAAAUAUUGCAAUACAAAGUGAAUCGGAGCCACAUGAGAGUUGAAAUCCCAAUGGCGGGCUUUGUCAAAUACAUCCCUGAAGUCUUGUGUAUAAAAGAUUUAUGCUUUGCUGAUGUAAAAUAAUCCUUUGCUGCUUUUACAGACUUACGGGUGAUUGUACAUUGUGUCAACAUGUGGAAACAAUUCAAAGACGCAAAAUAAAACUUACAACAGCGUUUCGCCACCUUGAGACAGCCUCUCUCGAUGGCGAAGAGUUGUCGCGGGUACUUCAAAGAUGUAAGAGCAGCACGAUGGGUGAGUGUUAAGCACGUGUGACUGACAGCGCGGAGGUUUUGGGUUUGAACAUUCAGCAUAGUGAGGAUUGGCGAUUUAAAUGCUGCAAGGGACCACAGU